rnacentral:rRNA from 1 species
GAUGAACGCUGGCGGCGUGCUUAACACAUGCAAGUCGAACGGAAAGGCCCAAGCUUGCUUGGGUACUCGAGUGGCGAACGGGUGAGUAACACGUGGGUGAUCUGCCCUGCACUUCGGGAUAAGCCUAGGAAACUGGGUCUAAUACCGGAUAGGACCACAUUUUGGAUGGUGUGGUGGAAAGUUUUUCGGUGUGGGAUGAGCUCGCGGCCUAUCAGCUUGUUGGUGGGGUAAUGGCCUACCAAGGCGUCGACGGGUAGCCGGCCUGAGAGGGUGUACGGCCACAUUGGGACUGAGAUACGGCCCCGACUCCUACGGGAGGCAGCCGUGGGGAAUAUUGCACAAUGGGCGCCAGCCUGAUGCAGCGACGCCGCGUGGGGGAUGACGGCCUUCGGGUUGUAAACUCCUUUCGCUAGGGACGAAGCGUUAUGUGACGGUACCUGGAGAAGAAGCACCGGCUAACUACGUG